rnacentral:rRNA from 1 species
GGUGCAAACGUUGCUCGGAAUCAUUGGGCGUAAAGCGCACGUAGGCGGUCCAGCAAGUCGGGUGUGAAAGCCCUCGGCUUAACCGAGGAAGUGCAUUCGAAACUACUGGACUUGAGUACUGAAGAGGAUAGCGGAAUUCCCGGUGUAGAGGUGAAAUUCGUAGAUAUCGGGAGGAACACCAGUGGCGAAGGCGGCGAUCUGGGCAGAUACUGACGCUGAGGAGCGAAAGCGUGGGGAGCGAACAGG